CGUUAUGGCGGCUGUGUGCGGGCAGGCCUCGGUCUGGCCGAGUACCUAUUCUCGGAUUUCUCACCCCUGCACAUAGCUGCCACCACU
rnacentral:antisense_RNA from 1 species